UACGAAGGGGGCUAGCGUUGUUCGGAAUUACUGGGCGUAAAGGGCGCGUAGGCGGCGUGUCAAGUCAGGCGUGAAAGCCCCGGGCUCAACCUGGGAACCGCGCUUGAGACUGGCAUGCUCGAGUUCGGGAGAGGAUGGUGGAAUUCCCAGUGUAGAGGUGAAAUUCGUAGAUAUUGGGAAGAACACCGAUGGCGAAGGCAGCCAUCUGGACCGACACUGACGCUGAGACGCGAAAGCGUGGGGAGCGAACAGG
rnacentral:rRNA from 1 species